rnacentral:rRNA from 1 species
CGGAAGAUGUAACGGGGCUAAGCUAUACACCGAAGCUGCGGCUACGUACUUAUGUGCGUGGGGUAGGGGAGCGUUCUGUAAGCCGUUGAAGGUGGUCUGUAAGGGCUGCUGGAGGUAUCAGAAGUGCGAAUGCUGACAUGAGUAACGAUAAAGGGAGUGAAAAACUCCCUCGCCGGAAGACCAAGGGUUCCUGUCCAACGUUAAUCGGGGCAGGGUAAGUCGACCCCUAAGGCGAGGCCGAAAGGCGUAGUCGAUGGGAAACGGGUUAAUAUUCCCGUACUUCUUACAAUUGCGAUGGGGGGACGGAGAAGGCUAGGUGGGCCUGGCGACGGUUGUCCAGGUUCAAGUACGUAGGCGGAAGAAUUAGGUAAAUCCGGUUCUUCAUAACGCUGAGAUACGAUGUCGAGCUACUACGGUAGUGAAGUCAUUGAUGCCAUGCUUCCAGGAAAAGCCUCUAAGCUUCAGAUUGUAAGGAAUCGUACCCCAAACCGACACAGGUGGUCGGGUAGAGAAUACCAAGGCGCUUGAGAGAACUCGGGUGAAGGAACUAGGCAAAAUGGUACCGUAACUUCGGGAGAAGGUACGCUCUUAUCAGUGAAGUCCCUUGCGGAUGGAGCAGACGAGAGUCGCAGAUACCAGGUGGCUGCAACUGUUUAUUAAAAACACAGCACUGUGCAAAAUCGUAAGAUGACGUAUACGGUGUGACGCCUGCCCGGUGCCGGAAGGUUAAUUGAUGGGGUUAGACUUCGGUCGAAGCUCUUGAUCGAAGCCCCGGUAAACGGCGGCCGUAACUAUAACGGUCCUAAGGUAGCGAAAUUCCUUGUCGGGUAAGUUCCGACCUGCACGAAUGGCGUAAUGAUGGCCACGCUGUCUCCACCCGAGACUCAGUGAAAUUGAAAUCGCUGUGAAGAUGCAGUGUACCCGCGGCUAGACGGAAAGACCCCGUGAACCUUUACUACAGCUUGGCACUGAACAUUGAACCUACAUGUGUAGGAUAGGUGGGAGACUUUGAAACCGCGUCGCUAGAUGUGGUGGAGUCGUCCUUGAAAUACCACCCUUGUAGUUUUGAUGUUCUAACGUUGGUCCCUGAAUCGGGAUUACGGACAGUGCCUGGUGGGUAGUUUGACUGGGGCGGUCUCCUCCCAAAGAGUAACGGAGGAGCACGAAGGUGGGCUAAACACGGUUGGACAUCGUGUGGUUAGUGCAAUGGCAUAAGCCCGCUUGACUGCGAGAAUGACAAUUCGAGCAGGUGCGAAAGCAGGUCAUAGUGAUCCGGUGGUUCUGAAUGGAAGGGCCAUCGCUCAACGGAUAAAAGGUACUCCGGGGAUAACAGGCUGAUACCGCCCAAGAGUUCAUAUCGACGGCGGUGUUUGGCACCUCGAUGUCGGCUCAUCACAUCCUGGGGCUGAAGUCGGUCCCAAGGGUAUGGCUGUUCGCCAUUUAAAGUGGUACGCGAGCUGGGUUUAGAACGUCGUGAGACAGUUCGGUCCCUAUCUGCCGUGGGCGUUGGAAAAUUGAAGGGGGCUGCUCCUAGUACGAGAGGACCGGAGUGGACGAACCUCUGGUGUUCGGGUUGUCAUGCCAAUGGCAUUGCCCGGUAGCUAAGUUCGGAAUCGAUAACCGCUGAAAGCAUCUAAGCGGGAAGCGAGCCCUGAGAUGAGUUUUCCCUGAC